rnacentral:rRNA from 1 species
CAUGGAGUUUGAUCCUGGCUCAGGAUGAACGCUAGCGGCAGGCCUAAUACAUGCAAGUCGAACGGUGUAGCAAUACAUAGUGGCGCACGGGUGCGUAACACGUAUGCAACCUACCUUAUACUGGGGGAUAGCCUUUGGAAACGGAGAUUAAUACCCCAUAGUACAUUUGAUUGGCAUCAAUUAAAUGUUAAAGAUUUAUCGGUAUAAGCUGGGCAUGCGUCCAAUUAGUUAGUUGGUGAGGUAAUGGCUCACC